rnacentral:misc_RNA from 1 species
CGCACAUUGCGCCCCUCGGCAUUCCGGGGGGCAUGCCUGUUCGAGCGUCAUUGCAACCCUCAAGCGUAGCUUGGUCUUGGGUCACACCCUCCCCGGGUGGACUCGAAAAACAGCGGCGGUCCGGGGGACUCCGAGCGCAGUCAAUUUUCAUCGCUUCGCAAGUCCUUUCGGCCCGGCCCGAAACAUUUAUAUUAUCAAUGAUUGACCUCGGAUCAGGUAGGGAUACCCGCUGAACUUAA